AUGUUAAGGAGGUUCUUUAAAGGCUCUUCUAGCCAAAGCUCUAAGGAAAAACAAGACAAAGAGAAGAUGCUCUUUUAUAGACUUAGAUUCAAUAAGAAACACUUUGAGUAUAUUAUUUUGCUUGCGCCUCUGUUGUUUGAUCUGCUUGCAGAAAGUCGUCUUGUUACGCCGGAGGCCGUGAACAAUCAUCUAGCCCAAGCUUUUACUCCGGAACCUGAACCUGAGCCGGAACCUGAGCUAGACCCUUAUCGUGCAUCAUCUGUUCAGUGGGAUCCAGAGAUAACCAGCCAGUGGUAUCCUGAUUAUACCUCCCACUACACCAGGGAGAGUAGCGGCGGUCCUUGGUAUUAG
rnacentral:rRNA from 1 species